rnacentral:rRNA from 1 species
GAGGGCGGGGGAUAACCACUGGAAACGGUGGCUAAUACCGCAUAAUGUCGCAAGACCAAAGUGGGGGACCUGAAAGGGCCUCACGCCGUCGGAUGAACCCAGAUGGGAUUAGCUGGUAGGUAGGGUAAUGGCCUACCUAGGCGACGAUCCCUAGCUGGUCUGAGAGGAUGACCAGCCACACUGGGACUGAGACACGGCCCAGACUCCUACGGGAGGCAGCAGUGGGGAAUAUUGCACAAUGGGCGCAAGCCUGAUGCAGCCAUGCCGCGUGUAUGAAAAGGCCUUCGGGUUGUAAAGUACUUUCAGCGGGGAAGGAAGGGUUUAGCCUGAACAGGGCUGGGCCUUGACGUUACCC